rnacentral:lncRNA from 1 species
UGCGCCCUCUUAUUCUUUAUAUGAGAAAUUUUUUUCAUGAAUUUUUCUCAUGCUCAGAAGCUUUUUCACAUCCAUAUUUGAUUCUUUUUAAAUUAAAAAUUGGUUGAUUUAAAUUUGAGUUCAAAUGGAUUUGAAUUUGAAUGAAAACUUAGAGUCCAAAUUGAGUUGGACUCUUCUCUUCACACCAUCACCUUUCUCCAUGCAUAAAAUAUUUUUGUGUGAGAUUUUUUGCACUAAUCUAAUGUUGGUC